GGGGGGCGGGGCGGGGCGGUAAGGCUCAGGCAUGGCGGGCUGCAGGUCCUGAUCCCUGCCCGGCGGGGAGGCAGCUAAGGCCUGGCGAGAAAUCGAGCACAGCAGCUGCUGGCCCAGGUGCUAAGCCCCUCACUGCCCGGGAUCGGCGGGGCUGGCCGGCAGCUCCCAGUGCGGGGCCCUCCGAGCCCACGCCCCACCGGGAACUCCCGCUGGCUCGCAAGCGCCGGGCGCAGCCCCAGUUCCCGCCCGCGCCUCUCCCUCCUCACCUCCCAGCAAGCUGAGGGAGCCGGCUCCGGCCUCGGCCAGCCCAGGAAGGGACUCCCACAGUGCAGCGGCGGGCUGAAGGGCUCCUCAAGUGCCGCCGGAGUGGGCGCCCAGGCAGAGGAGGCGCCCAGAGCGAGCGAGGACUGCGAGGACUUGCCAGCACGCUGUCACCUCUCACUUCCAGAACUAGCCACAUCUCUAAGGAGCUCUCAUUCCUGUUAAUGAAGAAUGAUAUUUACAAACCAAAAUCCAGGAACUAGGUUUAGGAGCAAGAUAAUGGAAUAGAAGCCUACAACAUUUGCUCUCCGACCCCACUGGAAAACCAAAUGACUCUUGGGUUUCCUGACACCAGGCCUAGGUGGUGGGACAGCAUUUCUGGACCUGCCCUGGGAAAGAAGGGAGCUUAACAGUCCUGAAAGGACAGACUAGUUCUCCGUCCCUUGCAGCUCAUGGGCUGAGUUCUGACCAAUGGGAUGUAGACAGAGAUGAUGCGCAAUCUUGAAAGGAUUUCAAAGAGAGGCUGUUUGCUUGACUGAAGGAAGUGCCUUUUGACAGAAGAUGCAAUUUAUGUUAUAUGAAUGAUAUUUCUGAUGGCCAAAAGGACCUGUGAUAGCCUGAGAGUCAAAGACAAGCAGGAACGCAUCUGUAGUCAAACAAGGUCAGGUUUAUUUAGUGGACUGCAUCAAAUAAGAACACCCCCAAAUAGGAACUUGGGGCACCUCAGUAAUGGAGAUUUCACAGGAGUUGUUUAUAUGUUUGUGCUUGUGCUUGAUAUUCCCAAGGCAGAUAUGGAAUGAAUCCUGGCUUGGAUUGGUUCUUGUCAACAAGGAGGAGCAGGUUAGCAAUCAGAUUCUCGGUAUUCAUUGUUCAGGUGGUGCUGUAUGUCCCCUCCAAAAGCAUGUUGAAAUUUAAUUGCCAAUAUAAUUGUAUUGUGAGGUAGGACCUUUAAGAGGGGUUUGGCUCAUUGAAGCUCCACCCUCAUGAAUAGAUUAAUGUCAUUAUCGUGGGAGUGGGAUUGUUAUCAUGGGAAUGGGCUCCUGAUAAAAGAGUGGUUUCUGCCUGAUCUCCUCUUUCCCUCUCUCGCAUGCUCACUUGCCCUUCCACCAUAUUAUGAUGCAGCAGGAGGGCCCUCACCAGAUGCUGAUAACAUUUUUUUAACUUCUCAGCCCUCAAAACUGUGAAGAAUAAUUUCUUUCUUUUAUACAUCACCUAGUCUGUGCUAUUCUGUUAUAGCAGAAGACAAUAAACUAAGACAGACAUCGGGAAAACAACACGGGCUUGGGGACAUCAUUUAUAAGAAAGUGAUAAUCACUCAGAGAAAAAAAUGAUUAGUCAUAUUUUCAGCUAUAGUGUGGCCUUUUGUAUAAGCACUGUAUACAAAAAUGCUAUAUCCCAUUGGAAGCAUUUUUUUUUUUUUUUGAGAAGGAGUCUCACUCUGUAACUCAGGCUAGAGUGCAGUGGCACGAUCUCGGCUCACUGCAACCUCCUCCUCCUGGGGUCAAGCGAUUCUCCUGCCUCAGCCUCCCGAGUAGCUGGGACUACAGGUGUGCACCACCGGGCCCAGGUAAUUUUUUUGUAUUUUUGGUAGAGACAGGAUUUUACCAUGUUGGCCAGGCUGGUCUCGAACUCCUGACCUUUUCACUUUCUCAAAAAGAAUAUUGUGACACAACCAUGAAGUGAAGAGUUCUAAGAUCCAACAUAGUCUCACUGAGUUGAUGCAUGUUUUUACCUGACUUCUGAUCAUUUUAUAAACAAUUAAAAUAGUACAGCGGGACAGGACCUUAGAAAUUGUCAUUAUAUGUAUGGAGAGCCUGGAGCACAUUCCCAGGGUCUGCCAAGCAGUUUGUGCCAAAAGAAGGAUUAGGACCCAGAUCUCUGACAAUUAGACAAGGAUCCUUCACAGGACAUCUAUUUUCAUCCUGGUACACACACACACACCUGUACCAAUUUCAGGGGUAAAGUAUUUUGCAAGUGAUUUACUACUAAUAAGAGUGAAAAUACUGGAGUGAUUCUCUAUUACUGUUUUCUCACUGUAAAAAUUUCAAGCAUACAAUCAUAAUAAAGUUAUCUCUUUACUUCAAUCUCCUUUCUCAUCUCCAUAUGGAUAAAUAUGUGUAUCUGACUAUUAUAUUAAAGUAAUGAUAUAGUAGUACAUAUUGUUUUGCUGUUGGCUUUUCCCAAUUAAUAACACACUUUGGAUACUGUUCUGUGUCAGUGUCAAUAAAAUCUGUAAACAUAGAUAACAUUAUUUUAUUAUUUUACAAGGUGAAGAUGUCCUUAAUGAUAUUCAAUAUACUUUUCUACAUUUACAGACUAUGUACAUUUUGUAGAUAGAACUUUUUUAUUAAAAUUAACGUUAUUAACCAUUUAUUUAAAAUACUCACAAAUAUUUUUAUUCAAAAAUUAUCUUGAGUAGUAAGGUUAUUGAGAUGCACAAUAAAUGAGCUACGUACUGCUUAUGAGAGAUGGUAGGCCAUUCUUUCUGUGGAUCAUAAGAAAUAUUUUAAAUAAAUAAAUAGUUUGAAU
rnacentral:lncRNA from 1 species